rnacentral:rRNA from 1 species
GGUUAAGCGACUAAGCGUACACGGUGGAUGCCCGGCAGUCAGAGGCGAUGAAGGACGUGCUAAUCUGCGAAAAGCGUCGGUAAGGUGAUAUGAACCGUUAUAACCGGCGAUGUCCGAAUGGGGAAACCCAGUGUGAUUCGUCACACUAUCGUUAACUGAAUACAUAGGUUAACGAGGCGAACCGGGGAACUGAAACAUCUAAGUACCCCGAGGAAAAGAAAUCAACCGAGAUUCCCCCAGUAGCGGCGAGCGAACGGGGAGCAGCCCAGAGUCUGAAUCAGCUUGUGUGUUAGUGGAACGGUCUGGAAAGUCCGACGGUACAGGGUGAUAGUCCCGUACACCAAAAUGCACAGGCUGUGAACUCGAAGAGUAGGGCGGGACACGUGGUAUCCUGUCUGAAUAUGGGGGACCAUCCUCCAAGGCUAAAUACUCCUGACUGACCGAUAGUGAACCAGUACCGUGAGGGAAAGGCGAAAAGAACCCCGGCGAGGGGAGUGAAAAAGAACCUGAAACCGUGUACGUACAAGCAGUGGGAGCACCUUCGGGUGUGACUGCGUACCUUUGUAUAAUGGGUCAGCGACUUAUAUUCUGUAGCAAGGUUAACCGUAUAGGGGAGCCGCAGGGAAACCGAGUCUUAACUGGGCGUUAAGUUGCAGGGUAUAGACCCGAAACCCGGUGAUCUAGCCAUGGGCAGGUUGAAGGUUGGGUAACACUAACUGGAGGACCGAACCGACUAAUGUUGAAAAAUUAGCGGAUGACUUGUGGCUGGGGGUGAAAGGCCAAUCAAACCGGGAGAUAGCUGGUUCUCCCCGAAAGCUAUUUAGGUAGCGCCUCGUGAAUUCAUCUUCGGGGGUAGAGCACUGUUUCGGCUAGGGGGUCAUCCCGACUUACCAACCCGAUGCAAACUACGAAUACCGAAGAAUGUUAUCACGGGAGACACACGGCGGGUGCUAACGUCCGUCGUGAAGAGGGAAACAACCCAGACCGCCAGCUAAGGUCCCAAAGUCAUGGUUAAGUGGGAAACGAUGUGGGAAGGCACAGACAGCCAGGAUGUUGGCUUAGAAGCAGCCAUCAUUUAAAGAAAGCGUAAUAGCUCACUGGUCGAGUCGGCCUGCGCGGAAGAUGUAACGGGGCUAAACCAUGCACCGAAGCUGCGGCAGCGACACUAUGUGUUGUUGGGUAGGGGAGCGUUCUGUAAGCCUGCGAAGGUGUGCUGUGAGGCAUGCUGGAGGUAUCAGAAGUGCGAAUGCUGACAUAAGUAACGAUAAAGCGGGUGAAAAGCCCGCUCGCCGGAAGACCAAGGGUUCCUGUCCAACGUUAAUCGGGGCAGGGUGAGUCGACCCCUAAGGCGAGGCCGAAAGGCGUAGUCGAUGGGAAACAGGUUAAUAUUCCUGUACUUGGUGUUACUGCGAAGGGGGACGGAGAAGGCUAUGUUAGCCGGGCGACGGUUGUCCCGGUUUAAGCAUGUAGGCUGGUUGUCCAGGCAAAUCCGGAUAAUCAAGGCUGAGGUGUGAUGACGAGGCACUACGGUGCUGAAGUAACAAAUGCCCUGCUUCCAGGAAAAGCCUCUAAGCAUCAGGUAACAUCAAAUCGUACCCCAAACCGACACAGGUGGUCAGGUAGAGAAUACCAAGGCGCUUGAGAGAACUCGGGUGAAGGAACUAGGCAAAAUGGUGCCGUAACUUCGGGAGAAGGCACGCUGGUGUGUAGGUGAAGUCCCUGCGGAUGGAGCUGAGACCAGUCGAAGAUACCAGCUGGCUGCAACUGUUUAUUAAAAACACAGCACUGUGCAAACACGAAAGUGGACGUAUACGGUGUGACGCCUGCCCGGUGCCGGAAGGUUAAUUGAUGGGGUUAUCCGUAAGGAGAAGCUCUUGAUCGAAGCCCCGGUAAACGGCGGCCGUAACUAUAACGGUCCUAAGGUAGCGAAAUUCCUUGUCGGGUAAGUUCCGACCUGCACGAAUGGCGUAAUGAUGGCCGGGCUGUCUCCACCCGAGACUCAGUGAAAUUGAACUCGCUGUGAAGAUGCAGUGUACCCGCGGCAAGACGGAAAGACCCCGUGAACCUUUACUAUAGCUUGACACUGAACAUUGAGCCUUGAUGUGUAGGAUAGGUGGGAGGCUUUGAAGCGUGGACGCCAGUCUGCGUGGAGCCAACCUUGAAAUACCACCCUUUAAUGUUUGAUGUUCUAACGUUGGCCCCUUACCGGGGUUGCGGACAGUGUCUGGUGGGUAGUUUGACUGGGGCGGUCUCCUCCCAAAGCGUAACGGAGGAGCACGAAGGUUAGCUAAUCCUGGUCGGACAUCAGGAGGUUAGUGCAAUGGCAUAAGCUAGCUUGACUGCGAGCGUGACGGCGCGAGCAGGUGCGAAAGCAGGUCAUAGUGAUCCGGUGGUUCUGAAUGGAAGGGCCAUCGCUCAACGGAUAAAAGGUACUCCGGGGAUAACAGGCUGAUACCGCCCAAGAGUUCAUAUCGACGGCGGUGUUUGGCACCUCGAUGUCGGCUCAUCACAUCCUGGGGCUGAAGUAGGUCCCAAGGGUAUGGCUGUUCGCCAUUUAAAGUGGUACGCGAGCUGGGUUUAGAACGUCGUGAGACAGUUCGGUCCCUAUCUGCCGUGGGCGCUGGAGAAUUGAGGGGGGCUGCUCCUAGUACGAGAGGACCGGAGUGGACGCAUCACUGGUGUUCGGGUUGUCAUGCCAAUGGCACUGCCCGGUAGCUAAAUGCGGAAGAGAUAAGUGCUGAAAGCAUCUAAGCACGAAACUUGCCCCGAGAUGAGUUCUCCCUGAGACUUUAAGUCUCCUGAAGGAACGUUAAAGACGAUGACGUUGAUAGGCCGGGUGUGUAAGCGCAGCGAUGCGUUGAGCUAACCGGUACUAAUGAACCGUGAGGCUUAACCUU